rnacentral:rRNA from 1 species
GUCUAUGGCCAUGCCACCUUGAACAAGCCCGAUCCAUUCUGAUCUCAGAAGCUAAGCAGGGUCGGGCCUCGUAGUACUUGGAUGGGAGACCACCUAGGAAGACCAGGUGCUAUAGGCA